GUACACAAUGUUUAUAAUUCCAGGGAAGUGAAAAGAGCAACUUUCCUCUAUAAUGUAAUUAUGUACUUUCUACAUCUAUGGUAACAAUACCUUAGUUUGAUUAUAGGUAUUUGUUUAGCGAUAGUCAGUUGGCCCUAGGCUAUAGUUCUAGAGGGUUUGGAAAAUCUCCCACAUCAGAGGUGGAAGCAGUGGAAGGAAAACAACAACAAAGGAUCAUGAUAAAGGACUCUGCUGUUACUCAAUGGAGAUACUAAUGCUAUGGAAACCAGCCAUAGGAAAUAAGCCAUUUGGGGAUGGUGUAAAGAGCAGGCUAUAAUGAAACCACUUAUAAUAUGUAAGAUAACAGAAAUCUACAACAUAUUUCUCAAUCAAAAUGAAGACAUUCGGCAUGUACUAGCAGAACCAAUUCAAACUGGAACAAAGAUGGGGCGAGUGGACAUUGCCUUUUCCUCCAAGGGUUGGUUUGACAUCUUAUAAUCACUUUAUAUAACAGCCAUUCUCCCAGUAAAAAGUGAAAAACCAGAGGAAGAGGUCUUGCUUCAUCCAACUCCACUGAUUUUGGCUUUGAGAGAAUACAGCUUUAAGAAGGUAUUCCCGGGAAUAUCCCAGGAACUCUAUCCGCCCCCUCAGAAUAGUAGGCAAUUGAGUUAGUGAUGGUGACUCAGGCAGGCUUUUUCAUCCUGAUCUAAAGGAACCACUACAACCCUAGAGAGAGAAAUAAAAAGGGAAUCGAGUGGAAAAGGCCUCCACCACCGAUGACUCAUGCUCUACUGUGACUCGCCUGGUACAUCACUCUGUGGCUAAGACAUGGAGGCUUGGUUCAUUAGUCACUUCAGUGAUUUUUUCAAAGCAAGGAUUCUCCCUCUAAAUAAUCAUGAGCUCUGCUUCCACAGUGUUUGUAUGUGAGCUUGUGACUCACCUUUCCACCAUGCCAGGCAGUACCAAUUGUGUCAUCUGCAAGAGAGAAAGCAAAACAUUCAUGAUGGCCAAGGAUGCAGGCAACAGAAAAAGAGUGAAGAAAACUCACCCACACUAAAAAGAAGGGAAUCAUGAAACCAUUCACCACUUCUACAGACAGCAGGUUAUUUUCUGUACACUGUAGAAUGUGACUGUGUCAAGAGGGCAUAAAAAGGAACCAGCUGAAAUUACUGGAGAGAACACAGGGAAUACUUUAAUGAACCUGGCUAAAAUUAGUCUUGCCUGAAAUGUAAUACUGGCACAGAGUUCUUCAAACAAUGAAGGAUUUACAGUGAAAAUCUACAUUUCCCAAAAUGCAUUCUCAGAAAAGAAUAUAUGUUAUCAGAAGAAAUAUCCUGCCUACCAAGAUGACUUAAGCUUUCUAACCUCAAGAGCUCACAUAAACUUUUCCAGCCAAAAAAAGUCUUUAAAAGAAUACGAUAAAGUGGUAGGUUGGCAAAGAGUAAGUGUAACUUCACAUUCAUUUCUCUUGUUGGUCUAGUUAGCUGUAAGUAAAACUCAUCCUUAAAGAGAGUUAAGAUGUGAUCUCUAGUAACCAACAUGAAAAGGUGACAUCUGCAUUUUUUAAGGACUCCAUAAUUGUUGACUAAAUACAUAUAAUGAGAGGGGCUAUUUUUAAACUCUGUUUUGAUAUAUUAUUAACCAAGAAAAGUUCAGAAGUCCAAUGGUUUAGUCAAAAUCACCUCACAGUUAAAUACCGAGGCUGUAACGUGAAUUUCUGACUCCUGGAUAUCAUCAAUUCUCUAAGAAACAGAUGCUGUUUUGUAAUAAUAAGGUUUCAAUGCAUGCUAAGCAUAGAAAUUUUGUUGUUUCUAUCUUGAAUAAUACUUCAUAUUAAUUAAAGUAGACAGCAUUCUGAUGAGAAGGGAAUUUUGUUUUCCUAGAAAUAUUCUGAAGAAAUAAAAUGCCAGCCAGAUUUAACAAGGUAAAUUCUGCUAUGUGAACAUCCAAUCCAGAUGUAUUAUGAACAGCUUUGUAUGGUAGUACAGAUGUACAUCAGGCAUAUUAACAGUGGUGGGUAUUUUAUUGUAAAGGAUAGAUUAUACAAAACCCUAACAGUAUUUGAAAACUUUUUUUUUUUUAUUUAGCACAUUUCAUCAGGGACCAUAAUGCUUAGCUAAAGUAUUAUAAAGAGUUCCCCCAGCAUUUUGUGAAGGGAAGCUAUAAUUCAGUUCUCCAAAGUUCUGAGAUCACCAGAAACAGAAUAAGGAAGGAGACUGGUAAUAAAAAUGUCUUUACCCAGGUGUAUGUGUGUCUGUGUGUGUGCGUGCGCAUUUGUAUUAAGGAAAUGAGAUCUGUUAACUAUAAAGCAGCUAAGUGGAGUCCAGAAGGGGUAGCCACUGCCUGUUUGGCUCUCUUAAACAGUCCCUCUUCUAUUUCCAGUUGGAAUAUUGGGGGCAGGGAGAUGGGGGAAUAUCAGGAGCUAUUUUUUCCCUUAUACCAUAUGCAUGUCAUGUAUAUAUUAAAUGUCUGCUUUCUGAAUGGCAAAAAUUAUCUAGAAAAUCAUGAGACAAAACAAAACCCCAUAACAUAAAACCAUACUUACAAAAUUAUAUCAUGGCAUGCUAAACAUUAAAUGUUUCCUUCAUCAAGAGGCCUUUUAUGUAGGGACAUGUUCAAAAUAUAUUCUUUAUAUAUAUGAAUUAAAACUCAAGAAGUUUUAAUAACUUGACAUAAACACUGAUUUCAAUGCCUGGCUAUUAAAGGCCAGAAAUAUUUGCUGAAUGCUCAACGACUAGAGGAUUCAUCAGCAAAGACACAAGUUCUCCCCUGCAAAAGUUAAUUUCUUUCUCAUAGCUCAUGAGCUCCUCCUUUUACAUUCUGACUCUAAAUUCUCUGUCCUUGUCAUAAAAUGUAACAUCUUUUUUUAAUCUGUCAAAUAAUAACAAUGAAAAGCCUGAGAAAACUUAACCUGAAAUCUGCAUGCUUUUAUCAAAUUGAUUAAUGCCUUCAUCUAUAAUGAAAUUAUCUUUCCUUCUAAUCAGAUUAUAAGUCACAAUAAAUUGAAUUUCAAGCCUUCUUUAUAUGAGUAUGUAUAUACAAAUCGUUAAUAUUCUACGCAUUAGUUAAGAGGCUUCGUUAUAUUCAGAUCAAAUUAAAUUUUCUUUAACACCAAAUUUUUAUAGGAUUUUUAGCUAAGUUAUUAGUAGAGUUAUCUGUAAGCAUCAGCUGGUAUCUUGAUAUUUGGUUAUUUAUAUGAAUAUACCAGGCAUUUCUGUGAAUUGUCACUAUCUAUCUGAACUCCAUUUCACAGCUCACAGGCUGUUUCUGGAGUUAACUCAAUGCUAAUAUUAGGCCAUCUGCAGGUGAUAAUUGCUGCACCAGAAAAAUUUUUGUUCCUCUUAACACACUUCUAAAAAAAGGUUACCAUAACUUGCAAGUUCAGUGGUUAAGAAUAUUAGACAAGUAGUAGUAAACAUGAUUUCCAGACCCAUUUUCUUCCCCAUUGGGACUGUUUCCAAAAGUGUAUAGCGAACAAUUUUAAUUCUUUCCUAAGAAGUAGACAAAAGUGGCCGGGCGCGGUGGCUCACGCCUGUAAUCCCAGCACUUUGGGAGGCCGAGGCGGCGGAUCACGAGGUCAGGAGAUCGAGACCAUCCCGGCUAAAACGGUGAAACCUCGUCUCUACUAAAAAUACAAAAAAUUAGCCGGGCGUAGUGGCGGGCGCCUGUAGUCCCAGCUACUUGGGAGGCUGAGGCAGGAGAAUGGCGUGAACCCGGGAGGCAGAGCUUGCAGUGAGCCGAGAUCCCGCCACUGCACUCCAGCCUGGGCGACAGAGCGAGACUCCGUCUCAAAAAAAAAAAAAAAAAAAGAAGUAGACAAAAGUUUCUACAAUUGUGCUUCUACAACAGUGAGAGUGUGAAAUCCUUGUCCUUGCAGGGAAAGUGUUUCCUCUUUAUAUACAUAUAUAUUUUCAGUGACAGUAUCAUUAAUCCUCACCACAAGAAAAUCCUAGAUGCCUAGAAUCUAAAGGGGAUAGUUUAAUAUAUAUGUUAUAUCACACUUAAGGUAUUGUUAUCACUUUAUAUGCAAGCUAGCCAAAAAGUAUACAAAUAUAUGAGGAAAAAUGAAUGUCUUGAUGACAGCUAAAUUUAGAAUUUGAUUCAAUGUCAAGAGUAAAAUAUUUACUAGUAUUUACUGGUAUAGCAAUGUAUAUUCUGGCUGGGAAAUAAAUAAGAGGCUUAUUUCGCUUAUACAAAAUCAAAAUCAGUACUAUUAGAUUAAGAUUAUUUAGAUGAUUAGAUUAUUCAGCAAAAAUGCAUUGGCUGGCCUAGAAAAUCCUUGAAAAUGUUAUAUUAAAAUGUAACCAUCUGCAGUUACGACUAAAAGUGACUUAAUUUCUUCUUAGUGUUUGUAUAUAUUUCUCAUACUUUUGGCAACAAUCUUGCAUUGUUUUUACAAUUAGAAAAGCCUCCACAAUCUUAUUUCUAAAAGAA
ensembl:lncRNA novel transcript